AUUAGGUUGUUAGGUUCUGUAGACUCGUUUCUAUUCUGUUACCUUAUAUGCUUGGUGUUGCCCAGUACCUCUCGAGUGAUGGCCCGACUGCAGCGGUUCCCCAUCGUGUACUCUUCGGUGCUGUGGUAUUCAUCAAGUGUGUAAGGUACAAAGCUAGUUGGUUUUCUUCUGGUGCUAUGCCUCUUGUACGCCGACCUCUUAGGGUUUUCUUUGCGUAUUUGUUUGGUUAAUUGUUUUGCGCCUAUCUCUGGUGAUGGUAGAGUAAAACUACUUUAGAGUUUCGAGUUGUGCUACGAAAUGUGAUUCGAGGAAAAUGUUGUGGUUGUCUUUUCCUCGAUGCCAACAAUUUUGUUGGGGCAUGGAUUAAGGUGUGAAAAUCGGAGUUCGAGGUUUUGUUUGAGUGUCUGAGACGAGUGACAAUAGCUUUGGGCUGCCUCUGGAUGAUAAAAUUGUUUCGGAAUCUGGAUUAUUGUUGAAUUGAGACUAGUAGUAAUUGUGGUUCUGAUUUUGAACCGAGUUUCGGUAGAUGUGUCAUGUGAUGUGAUCGGUUGUUAAGUAACAUUUGAAAUAUUAUUGGGAGUUUUUGGUGAUUCCUGGGGAAUCUCAGUGUUGGAAACCAUUUAUAGAGGGAAAUUGAAUAAAUAUUCUGAUUUUUCUGGCUAGAUGCUGUGUUUCCUAGUGACUCUGGUCACUGAUAAAGGUGAAGUAUUUAAGUGGUGAUUAAUUCGAGAAAUUGGAUCGUUAUGUGGUGGGACCACUUUCGGAUCCGAGUGUUGUGGUGUUUGAUACAAGAUAUUGGACGAGUGCAAUUUGUUCUCCAUCAUGGAUACCGUUUAUAGAAGACUUGGUGAAUGGUGUUUUGUCGUUCGGGAAAACUGGUUGUUGUUUGAGUGUAAUACGUGUAGAGGAUUGCUUUGGAGGAAUUGAGUGGUCUUACUAUCUUGGUGCCGUUACUGGUGGUAAUGGUUAAGCUAUUGAGAUAUUUGUUCUGACGAUGAACCGAGUCUCAAAAGAUGUGUUACACGAUGUGAUCGGCUACGUAAGUGACAUUUGGGGACGUGUAUAGUUGUUACUUGUCCGUGUUAAUUUCGAGGGCGAAAUAUUAUAAGGAGGGGAGAUUGUAACGUCCCGAACCUGAAUUUACCCGUUUACUAGUCAUUUGGACGGUAAUCGACCUUUACUUUCAUUUUUAUUGUCAUUUCAGCACUUUUAGUGGCCCUAAAAGUUGACUUUUUAUUCGGGUCAAAAUUUGAGAAAAUGUUCUUCAUGAAAGUUGUAGAGGACGUUAAACCGAGCGCGUGCAUAUGUAGUACGUAAAAAUCGGAGUUCGUAUACGAAAGUUAUGGCCAAAAUACUAAAGUUACUGUUUAUGUGGUAAGCUUCUAUAAAUAGCCGAGUUACUAUGGUAAGUUUCCAUUUUCGGAAACUUACCGGGCUGUCUCUCUUCUCUCUCCCCGAUUCUCUCUUCCUCUCCGACCUCUUCACCUUCUUCCGGCCAUAACUCCUCCAUCCGGCGACGGAUUUUGACGUAUAAGAUGUCGUUGGAAAGCUCUCUUCCUUCUCUUCAUUUCUGGGUUCGUUUCGUAGCUUAAUAUGAACUGUGGAAGGUGAAGCAACGAGAAGAAGAGGACGGUCACUGUAGUAGUUUGUUAUUUCCGGCGAUAUCUUCCGAUUCCGGCCGUCUCCGGCCACCAAAUUGGCGUCGAAGGGUUCUUGGAGUUUUCUGGAAAUUUUUCACCGGCCAAAUUGGAGCCCUUCAAGGACGAUAUAUCGAGUUACCGCUUGACGAAGGAACUCGUUUUCGUGGUCGCCAACCAGUAUUUUUGCAGGCUAGAUUAGUUGAGGUCGGGCGUACGUGGAGUCGAGGCAUAGUCAACAGCAUUGCUUCCGCGUACUCAUUCUAUUUCUAUUUUCUUUGUUAUCUAGUGGAUUAGUAUUGCUCUGAUAACCUGUGGGAAUAAUAUUAUUUUAUUUUAUUUUUGGGUUGAGACUGGUAUUUGUGAAAUUGGAGUUGUGAUUUGGGGAGCAGGUGGCUCCAGGAGUUUAAAGAUGGUUUGUUUAGAAGUGUAAUGUGUGUUGUACAGGUUUGGGUAGUCCACUUUUAGGGGUGACUCUGCUGAAUUUUCGGUAGAGUUAUUCUUAAGGUGGGCCCCACAGGGCCACCUCGGAUUUCAGGGUGAAAUCCGGGGCGGGUCCUGUCAAUUUGGUAUCAGAGCAUUAGGUUGUUAGGUUCUGUAGACUCGUUUCUAUUCUGUUACCUUAUAUGCUUGGUGUUGCCCAGUACCUCUCGAGUGAUGGCCCGACUGCAGCGGUUCCCCAUCGUGUACUCUUCGGUGCUGUGGUAUUCAUCAAGUGUGUAAGGUACAAAGCUAGUUGGUUUUCUUCUGGUGCUAUGCCUCUUGUACGCCGACCUCUUAGGGUUUUCUUUGCGUAUUUGUUUGGUUAAUUGUUUUGCGCCUAUCUCUGGUGAUGGUAGAGUAAAACUACUUUAGAGUUUCGAGUUGUGCUACGAAAUGUGAUUCGAGGAAAAUGUUGUGGUUGUCUUUUCCUCGAUGCCAACAAUUUUGUUGGGGCAUGGAUUAAGGUGUGAAAAUCGGAGUUCGAGGUUUUGUUUGAGUGUCUGAGACGAGUGACAAUAGCUUUGGGCUGCCUCUGGAUGAUAAAAUUGUUUCGGAAUCUGGAUUAUUGUUGAAUUGAGACUAGUAGUAAUUGUGGUUCUGAUUUUGAACCGAGUUUCGGUAGAUGUGUCAUGUGAUGUGAUCGGUUGUUAAGUAACAUUUGAAAUAUUAUUGGGAGUUUUUGGUGAUUCCUGGGGAAUCUCAGUGUUGGAAACCAUUUAUAGAGGGAAAUUGAAUAAAUAUUCUGAUUUUUCUGGCUAGAUGCUGUGUUUCCUAGUGACUCUGGUCACUGAUAAAGGUGAAGUAUUUAAGUGGUGAUUAAUUCGAGAAAUUGGAUCGUUAUGUGGUGGGACCACUUUCGGAUCCGAGUGUUGUGGUGUUUGAUACAAGAUAUUGGACGAGUGCAAUUUGUUCUCCAUCAUGGAUACCGUUUAUAGAAGACUUGGUGAAUGGUGUUUUGUCGUUCGGGAAAACUGGUUGUUGUUUGAGUGUAAUACGUGUAGAGGAUUGCUUUGGAGGAAUUGAGUGGUCUUACUAUCUUGGUGCCGUUACUGGUGGUAAUGGUUAAGCUAUUGAGAUAUUUGUUCUGACGAUGAACCGAGUCUCAAAAGAUGUGUUACACGAUGUGAUCGGCUACGUAAGUGACAUUUGGGGACGUGUAUAGUUGUUACUUGUCCGUGUUAAUUUCGAGGGCGAAAUAUUAUAAGGAGGGGAGAUUGUAACGUCCCGAACCUGAAUUUACCCGUUUACUAGUCAUUUGGACGGUAAUCGACCUUUACUUUCAUUUUUAUUGUCAUUUCAGCACUUUUAGUGGCCCUAAAAGUUGACUUUUUAUUCGGGUCAAAAUUUGAGAAAAUGUUCUUCAUGAAAGUUGUAGAGGACGUUAAACCGAGCGCGUGCAUAUGUAGUACGUAAAAAUCGGAGUUCGUAUACGAAAGUUAUGGCCAAAAUACUAAAGUUACUGUUUAUGUGGUAAGCUUCUAUAAAUAGCCGAGUUACUAUGGUAAGUUUCCAUUUUCGGAAACUUACCGGGCUGUCUCUCUUCUCUCUCCCCGAUUCUCUCUUCCUCUCCGACCUCUUCACCUUCUUCCGGCCAUAACUCCUCCAUCCGGCGACGGAUUUUGACGUAUAAGAUGUCGUUGGAAAGCUCUCUUCCUUCUCUUCAUUUCUGGGUUCGUUUCGUAGCUUAAUAUGAACUGUGGAAGGUGAAGCAACGAGAAGAAGAGGACGGUCACUGUAGUAGUUUGUUAUUUCCGGCGAUAUCUUCCGAUUCCGGCCGUCUCCGGCCACCAAAUUGGCGUCGAAGGGUUCUUGGAGUUUUCUGGAAAUUUUUCACCGGCCAAAUUGGAGCCCUUCAAGGACGAUAUAUCGAGUUACCGCUUGACGAAGGAACUCGUUUUCGUGGUCGCCAACCAGUAUUUUUGCAGGCUAGAUUAGUUGAGGUCGGGCGUACGUGGAGUCGAGGCAUAGUCAACAGCAUUGCUUCCGCGUACUCAUUCUAUUUCUAUUUUCUUUGUUAUCUAGUGGAUUAGUAUUGCUCUGAUAACCUGUGGGAAUAAUAUUAUUUUAUUUUAUUUUUGGGUUGA